UACGGGGGGGGCAAGCGUUGUUCGGAAUUACUGGGCGUAAAGGGCGCGUAGGCGGUUUGCUAAGUUGGAUGUGAAAACUCUGGGCUUAACCCAGAGCCUGCAUCCAAAACUGGCAAACUUGAGUACUGGAGGGGAAAGCGGAAUUCCUGGUGUAGCGGUGAAAUGCGUAGAUAUCAGGAGGAACACCGGUGGCGAAGGCGGCUUCUGGACAGUAACUGACGCUGAGGCGCGAAAGCUAGGGGAGCGAACGGG
rnacentral:rRNA from 1 species